rnacentral:rRNA from 1 species
AACGAACGCUGGCGGCGUGCUUAACACAUGCAAGUCGAGCGAUGAAGUUCCUUCGGGAAUGGAUUAGCGGCGGACGGGUGAGUAACACGUGGGUAACCUGCCUCAUAGAGGGGAAUAGCCUUUCGAAAGGAAGAUUAAUACCGCAUAAGAUUGUAGCUUCGCAUGAAGCAGCAAUUAAAGGAGUAAUCCGCUAUGAGAUGGACCCGCGUCGCAUUAGCUAGUUGGUGAGGUAACGGCUCACCAAGGCGACGAUGCGUAGCCGACCUGAGAGGGUGAUCGGCCACAUUGGGACUGAGACACGGCCCAGACUCCUACGGGAGGCAGCAGUGGGGAAUAUUGCACAAUGGGGGAAACCCUGAUGCAGCAACGCCGCGUGAGUGAUGACGGUCUUCGGAUUGUAAAACUCUGUCUUCAGGGACGAUAAUGACGGUACCUGAGGAGGAGGCCACGGCUAACUACGUGCCAGCCGCCGCGGUAAAAC